rnacentral:misc_RNA from 1 species
AACGCACAUUGCGCCCUCUGGUAUUCCGGGGGGCAUGCCUGUUCGAGCGUCAUUACAACCCUCAAGCUCUGCUUGGUAUUGGACUGCAGCCAACCCCUGGGAAGGCUCGGCCCCAAAGUCAUUGGCGGUGCCCGCUGGACUCCGAGCGCAGUAACCAUACUCUCGCUUCUGGAAGACCUUUGGGGGCCUGGCCACAACCCAAUUUCAUACUGGUUGACCUCGGAUCAGGUAGGGAUACCCGCUGAACUUAA